AGUCGCAACAGGGAAGGGAAGACAUCUGUGUUAAUGGGCUGCAGGUGGAACAACUGCUGGUCGGAGUCGGCAGGAGCCACACAAUCUGACACACAAACAAACACCAAUGGCUGGUCGAGUCGACAGAGAAGUAAAAUCGGCAGAUGGUCUAAAAAAAAUGAAACAAAAUUACCGAUGCUCCACAGAAGUCCUCUGUCCUGUUGGGAAUCGGCCCACUAGUGAACAACUACAAAGCCAUCUAGUACCAAGCAGAGGCCCCCCUUCUCACCAGAACACCACCACCUUCUAAGGUUGGCUGUCAGAUUAGAUCUGACAUGAAAGAGGUGCUACAUCAUCAUGGAAGAGGUGCUACAUCAUCAUGGAAGAGGUGCUACAUCAUCAUGGAAGAGGUGCUACAUCAUCAUGGAAGAGGUGCUACAUCAUCAUGGAAGAGAUGCUACAUCAUCAUGGAAGAGGUGCUACAUCAUCAUGGAAGAGGUGCUACAUCAUCAUGGAAGAGGUGCUACAUCAUCAUGGAUGCUUUUCCAUGUUGGCAUUUCACUCUCCCUGUUAUUGCAUUUCCCAGUCAGUCUGUCAGUACUGUAGUGGAUUCACACAGCCUGCUAUAGAAUUGACUAGCUUACUGCACACACACAAUUUUUUGAAAACUCAAUAUACAUGCAUUAACCUUUUUUUAUACAGUUAUGUUACUUGGAAAAUACAGGAAAGACUCUAGACUUAAAACUUUAAAUUCCCUUUCUUUCUUGCUCUGUUUCUAUAACACUAUUUCCAUCUCAAUCACUUCUAUUUACCCUAUAACUAGCCAUGUUGAUAUUACAUCAAAAUGGUUCAGGAAAUACGGGUGUACAUUCUUUACAAGUUGAGUUGGCCCCUACAACACAUCCAGUUGAACGAAAGUAUAAAUUAAAAUCAGAGAAUACCCAUUAAUAAAUAAAAAUCCACAUUUAGAAUUAAGGACAAGGUUUGUUUAGCUAGCACUGGGUAAUUGUUGGAUGUGGCAGCAUAUAUAUUUUAAAUGGAUUAGUGUACUUGGAAUAGUUUUUUGCUACUGUCACUCUGUUCUUGCUUCUCAGUUAGAGCAUGGUGGUGGUUGGGAGUGAAGUUGAAAUGGACAUGCGAGGCAGAGCCAGCCUGUAUCAUCUGUUGAGACCAUAAGCCACCCACUCCUCCUGCUCACGCUCCCUCCCUCCUCUCUCUGUUGGAAUUUUGUGCACAUCGUCACAUACCCUGGCCGGUAUCACAGUUUAGAGAUACAAUAGGCUUUUCUUUUUGUUGCUGUUAUUGUUUGUGUAUUGUUGUAUUUUACAUGUGUGUGACUGUCCUUGUCUAUCAGUGGUUUGUUGCUUGUCAUGUUUUGUGUUUUUUUGUGGACCUUAGGAAGAGUAGCUGCUGCUUCUGCAAAAGCUAAUGCGGAUCCUAAUAAGCAAACAAAUAAAUACAAAUAGCACAGGAAAUGACCUCUCCACCUGCAUGCACAUUUAUAUUUGCCUUUGUUUAUGUAAGUGUGGGGAGGACUGAAUUUGUAUUCAGGCCAAUAUUCUAGUGUGCAAUAUAAUGAGUUAGCUUUGUGUAUCACUUCAAAUUGAAGACGCCCUCUCUCUUUUUUCUCUUCCUGCCUCUCGGCCUCUCUUCCUUGUCACACUCUCCUCUCCUCUCCUGCACUUGUCCUGCGUGAACAAUGAGGCAGCUGAUUGAGUCACAAUUUCUCCCCUCUGUCUCUCUCUCUCACUCCCUCUCCCCCACACACACAUACACAAGCCCUUCCACUCCCUCUGUUGCUUCCCUGUUUCACAACCUCUCUCUCUUCCCCCUCCAUCCUCUUCCCUUUCCCUUAAGCUUGCUAUUCACUCUGCUUUCUCUCCCUACACUUACACGUAUUUCUUUAUUUCAAAACAUUUCAUAAUCUUUCCUUCUCUCUUAGUCUUCUUAGUAAGUCUCUCCUUCCCCUCUUCCUUUGAUUCGUCCAUGUCAUCUGUCUCUCUUCCUCUCUCUGCAUAUUUCUCUGCAUCUUUUGGUCUGUGAGCAGUGCACUACUCGCUCCUCUCUUCCUCGCUCUCUUUUUCUCUCUCACUUUUUCUCCUUCUCUCUCUCUCUCUCUCUGGUCUACAGCAGUGAUUCUUUAAUCCCUUCUUACACGAUCUCUUUCUCCUUCAGCUGAUGAAAACCUAAAAGAGUAAGAACAUGGAAACCCUCCCUAUGACAAACCCUCCCAGUAAACAAACGCUGGAUAAUAACCUUCAGAAUCUCGUACAGUCCUAUAUACUAAUUGUUAUCGCACCAAUGAGGAAAUCACAACACAAUUCAUCCUUCUGUUAGCCGACUACAGGAAGAUUUUCUAUAUAAAUGUGUAUAAAUGUGAAUAAAAACACACCUUGUGUUGUAAAA